ACAAAAAUCUGAAGUCAAAAACACCGAAUUCCAAGUUUUUUCCAGGAGCGAAGGCCCCAUCUCUAGGCCACUGUACUAAUAAUACUGGCCUGGACUAUUUCGCGCCUGGAACCCCCCUAGUCUUCUCCGAGGGGUCCGCACUGCGGGGUGCAAACCCACAAACCAGCUCCAAACCAAAUGUUCCAUCGUCAGCCAAUCGCUGGCUGGGACCCCUCAAGAAAACCAGAGACACCUACAGAAGGUGAGUGGCAUUAAGGCCAGCCUAUCCGCGGGGAGGCAGCUGAAGGGGGUGGGUUCAGAAUUAGCCAAUAGUCUCCAAGUGGUUGUUGUUAGGCGGGAGGAAGACGCUUGCGAGCGUGCGUGAGGCCGCUCCCCGGGAAGGGGGUGGCAGGAAGCUCGAGGAGCCAAUGGCCGCGGCGGGCGGGCGGUGGCGCGCAUGCGUAUUGCCACCUGGGGCUGCGGGCGGGAGGCGGGGGAGGGUGGGGGAGGGGAGCGGGCAGGAACGCGGCGGAGCUGCUGCCGCCGCAGCCGCCGCCGCCGCAGCGAAGAGGCCAUGUUGUGUGGUGUGUGGGGCGGGGGGGAGGAGGAGGAGGGAGUAGAGCCGAGAGAGGAGACGGGAGAGAGACACCACACACACACGGCACAAGAUGGCCGGAGAGGCAGCAGCACCCCGAGCUGUCAGGCGUUCCGCCGCGGCCGCGGAGCCCGCCGGCCGGCGAGGACCUACUCCCGGGCGGCCCCCAGACCCGCGGGAGCAAAGCGGCCGUGGCUGGGGGGUGAGGCGGGCCGCGCGCCGGGCUGGGAGCCCGCGGCAGAGGCGCCCGGGGCGGCCGGGCCCACGACGCGGAAAGCGCCGCUGCGGCAGCGGCCGCCGAGGCUCCCCGGGGCCCCGGCGGCCCGACCCGUACGGGCGGGAGGCUCGGGCGGGCGCCCUGGCGCGGGAGUCGGGUGCAGGCGACCAGGAGGGGUCGGCCGCGGCGUUCGGACCCGAAUAUAUUUGUCUUCGUCCUGCGGUAGCUCGUGUGGUGUUGUGGAGGUGAAGAUCUACGUAAAAAUAGUGUUGGGCAGAUUUACGUAGUACUUGUAAAAUCACAG
rnacentral:lncRNA from 1 species